rnacentral:misc_RNA from 1 species
CGCACCUUGCGCCCUCUGGUUAUUCCGUUGGGCAUGCCUGUUUGAGUGUCUUGAAAUCAUCAACCGGACGGCUUCGCGGUCGUCCGAUUGGACUUGGGGGUUUCUGCUGCCGUCAGGCGGCUCCCCUCGAAUUCAUUGGCUGUUGACAGAGUCUAACCGCGGCGUUGUAAUCCCUCGCCAAUGCGGGUCUGUCGGCGUAAGCCAGCCUUCCGAGGCGACCCAACCUUUGAAAUCUGACCUCAAAUCAGGUAGGACUACCCGCUGAACUUAA